GCCUGGGUGGCUCAGUCAGUGAAGCGUCUGACUUAGGCUCAGGUCAUGAUCUCAUGGUUUGUGAGUUUGAGUCUCGCAUCGGGUG
rnacentral:tRNA from 1 species